rnacentral:rRNA from 1 species
UACGUAGGGGGCAAGCGUUGUCCGGAUUUAUUGGGCGUAAAGAGCGUGUAGGCGGCUAGAUAGGUCCGUUGUGAAAACUCGAGGCUCAACCUCGAGACGUCGAUGGAAACCAUCUGGCUAGAGUCCGGAAGAGGAGAGUGGAAUUCCUGGUGUAGCGGUGAAAUGCGCAGAUAUCAGGAAGAACACCCGUGGCGAAGGCGGUUCUCUGGGCAUUACCUGACGCUGAGGAGCGAAAGUGUGGGGAGCGAACAGG